rnacentral:rRNA from 1 species
UACAGAGGGGGCAAGCGUUAUUCGGAAUUAUUGGGCGUAAAGGGCGCGUAGGCGGCCUGGCAAGUGGAAGGUGAAAUCCCUCGGCUUAACCGAGGAACUGCCCUCCAAACUGCUUGGCUUGAGUCCGGGGGAGGUGAGUGGAAUUCCCAGUGUAGCGGUGAAAUGCGUAGAUAUUGGGAGGAACACCAGUGGCGAAGGCGGCUCACUGGACCGGAACUGACGCUGAGGCGCGAAAGCGUGGGGAGCAAACGGG